UUCCGGUUGAUCCUGCCGGAGGACAUUGCUAUUGGGAUUCGAUUCGGCCAUGCUAGUCGAGCGAGUUCAGACUCGCGGCGAAUAGCUCAGUAACACGUGGCCAAGCUCCCCUUCAGUCAGUGAUACCCUCGGGAAACUGAGGUUAACAGCUGAUACAAAACGCCAGCUGGAAUGCGGCGUUUCAGAAAGACAUCGCUGAAGGAUGCGGCUGCGGCCGAUUAGGUAGACGGUGGGGUAACGGCCCACCGUGCCAGUAAUCGGUACGGGUGAUGAGAGUCAGAGCCCGGAGACGGAAUCUGAGACAAGAUUCCGGGCCCUACGGGGCGCAGCAGGCGCGAAACCUUUACACUGCACGGAAGUGCGAUAGGGGAAUCCCAAGUGCGAGGGCAUAUUAGCCCUCGCUUUUCUCGACUGUAAGGUGGUCGACGAAUAAGAGCUGGGCAAGACCGGUGCCAGCCGCCGCGGUAAUACCGGCAGCUCAAGUGAUGUCCCAUAUUAUUGGGCCUAAAGCGUCCGUAGCUGGCCGACCAAGUCUACCGGGAAAUCCACCCGCCCAACGGGUGGGCGUCCGGUAGAAACUGGCCGGCUUGGAACCGGAAGGCUCAGAGAGUACGUCCGGGGUAGGAGUGAAAUCCCGUAAUCCCGGACGGACUACCGAUGGCGAAAGCACUCUGAGAAGACGGCUUCGACAGUGAGGGACGAAAGCUCGGGUCUCAAACCGGAUUAGAUACCCCGGUAGUC
rnacentral:rRNA from 1 species